rnacentral:rRNA from 1 species
UACGGAGGGGGCUAGCGUUGUUCGGAAUUACUGGGCGUAAAGCGCACGUAGGCGGAUUGGAAAGUUGGGGGUGAAAUCCCGGGGCUCAACCCCGGAACUGCCUUCAAAACUCCCAGUCUGGAGGUCGAGAGAGGUGAGUGGAAUUCCGAGUGUAGAGGUGAAAUUCGUAGAUAUUCGGAAGAACACCAGUGGCGAAGGCGGCUCACUGGUCCGGUACUGACGCUGAUGUGCGAAAGCGUGGGGAGCAAACAGG